GGUCGACCUGCAGGCGGCCGCGAAUUCACUAGUGAUUGGCUCAGAUUGAACGCUGGCGGCAGGCUUAACACAUGCAAGUCGAGCGGUUUAGUUAGCUUGCUAACUAGAUAGCGGCGAACGGGUGAGUAAUGCCUAGGAAUCUGCCUGAUAGUGGGGGAUAACGUUCGGAAACGAACGCUAAUACCGCAUACGUCCUGCGGGAGAAAGGGGGCUUUAUUGCUCUCGCUAACAGAUGAGCCUAGGUCAGAUUAGCUAGUUGGUGAGGUAAAGGCUCACCAAGGCGACGAUCUGUAGCGGGUCUGAGAGGAUGAUCCGCCACACUGGAACUGAGACACGGUCCAGACUCC
rnacentral:rRNA from 1 species